GAACUAACGCUGGCGGCGCGUCUUAAACAUGCAAGUCGGACGGUAUCCUUUGAGCUUGCUUAGGGGAGAGAGUGGCGAACGGGUGAGUAACACGUAGGUGACCUGCCCCGAUGUGGGGAAUAACUGCUGGAAACGGUAGCUAAUACCCCAUGUGAUCGGCGAUUCGGUUCGUCGAUUAAAGCUCCGGCGCGUCGGGAGGGGUCUGCGGCCCAUCAGGUAGUUGGUAGGGUAAUGGCCUACCAAGCCGAUGACGGGUAGCUGGUCUGAGAGGAUGAUCAGCCACACUGGAACUGAAACACGGUCCUGACUCCUACGGGAGGCAGCAGUGAGGAAUAUUGCGCAAUGGACGAAAGUCUGACGCAGCAACGCCGCGUGGGCGAAGAAGGCCUUCGGGUUGUAAAGCCCUUUUCUGAGGGAAGAGAGAGGACGGUACCUCAGGAAUAAGUCUCGGCUAACUACGUGCCAGCAGCCGCGGUAAAACGUAGGAGGCGAGCGUUAUCCGGAUUUAUUGGGCGUAAAGCGCGUGCAGGUGGUAUCGUAAGUCGGAUGUGAAAGCCUCUGGCUCAACUGGAGGAUGUCGUUCGAUACUGCGGAACUUGAGGUCGGGAGAGGGAAGCGGAAUUCCCGGUGUAGUGGUGGAAUGCGUAGAUAUCGGGAGGAACACCAGUGGCGAAGGCGGCUUCCUGGCCCGCACCUGACACUAAGACGCGAAAGCGUGGGGAGCGAACA
rnacentral:rRNA from 1 species